rnacentral:piRNA from 1 species
ACUCUUGACAGUGGGAUGACGAUA